UGGGUCUAAUACCGGAUAUGACCUUCUGUCGCAUGGCAGGGGGUGGAAAGUUUUUCGGCUGGGGAUGGGCCCGCGGCCUAUCAGCUUGUUGGUGGGGUGAUGGCCUACCAAGGCGACGACGGGUAGCCGGCCUGAGAGGGCGACCGGCCACACUGGGACUGAGACACGGCCCAGACUCCUACGGGAGGCAGCAGUGGGGAAUAUUGCGCAAUGGGCGAAAGCCUGACGCAGCGACGCCGCGUGGGGGAUGACGGCCUUCGGGUUGUAAACCUCUUUCGACCGGGACGAAGCGUAAGUGACGGUACCGGUAGAAGAAGCACCGGCCAACUACGUGCCAGCAGCCGCGGUAAUACGUAGGGUGCGAGCGUUGUCCGGAAUUAUUGGGCGUAAAGAGCUCGUAGGCGGUGUGUCGCGUCGGUCGUGAAAACUUGGGGCUCAACCCUGAGCUUGCGGUCGAUACGGGCAUCACUUGAGUUCGGCAGGGGAGACUGGAAUUCCUGGUGUAGCGGUGAAAUGCGCAGAUAUCAGGAGGAACACCGGUGGC
rnacentral:rRNA from 1 species